UACGGGGGGAGCAAGCGUUGUUCGGAUUUACUGGGCGUAAAGGGCGCGUAGGCGGCCACCGCAAGUCGAUUGUGAAAUCUCCGGGCUUAACUCGGAAAGGUCAACCGAUACUGCGGGGCUAGAGUGCAGAAGGGGCAACUGGAAUUCUCGGUGUAGCGGUGAAAUGCGCAGAUAUCAGGAGGAACACCGGUGGCGAAGGCGGGUCUCUGGGCCGAUACUGACGCUGAGGAGCGAAAGCGUGGGGAGCGAACAGG
rnacentral:rRNA from 1 species